UUCAGCUUCUCUCUGAAAAACAGUAAAACGUCAUUUAUUAGAGAAGACUCUCCUUCAGGCAGGAUGGGGGCGACCGCCUGGAGAUGUCAGCAACACAACCUUGUUUUCCAGCCUAGAGACAGAGCACUUCAAUCAACAUCUAGGCAGUCUCUGCGAAGAUGCAGCCUCUCGAGUCCCACGUGCCCAGAAGCAGCACCCUGAGAAAGGCAAAGACGACUCAUCUGGUGGAGGGGCGAGGACCCUGGGUUAGACACACACUCUCUGGCAAUAGGCCAACACCAACCUUUCACUUGCUUCCUAAGCAAGAGCAGAACAGGGUCUCUUCAAAAGUUCACAAUGAAGACUAACUCUGUAGGACUAACAAUGGUGGUGGAAUAUUAAUAUUAUGGAAAACAAUAAAAACCCACCCUGGAACCUGUGCAAGGA